rnacentral:rRNA from 1 species
UCCUACGGGGGGCAGCAGUGGGGAAUAUUGCACAAUGGGGGAAACCCUGAUGCAGCAACGCCGCGUGAGCGAUGAAGGCCUUCGGGUUGUAAAGCUCUGUCUUUGAGGACGAUAAUGACGGUACUCAAGGAGGAAGCCACGGCUAACUACGUGCCAGCAGCCGCGGUAAUACGUAGGUGGCAAGCGUUGUCCGGAAUUAUUGGGCGUAAAGGAUGCGUAGGCGGUCUUUUAAGUGGGAUGUGAAAUACCCGGGCUUAACUCGGGAGUGGCAUUCCAAACUGGAAGACUAGAGUGCAGGAGAGGAAAGUGGAAUUCCCAGUGUAGCGGUGAAAUGCGUAGAGAUUGGGAGGAACACCAGUGGCGAAGGCGACUUUCUGGACUGUAACUGACGCUGAGGCAUGAAAGCGUGGGGAGCAAACAGGAUUAGAAACCCUAGUAGUCCC